CUCCUCCUUACAGAGGAAACCAUUUACGCACCCGCAAGAGCUGUUAAACUUCUAGGCCGCAUGCUUCUCUUAGUGAAAUGAUUUAGAGCUAUGUGUAAAUAGCACAUAAAUUUAUUAUGACUUGGGUCCAAACUGGGGAUGUGUCUAUAUAUACACACACAUGCAAUCAGCUCUCAGCAUCUAACAGUGAAAAAUAUCACAGCCUUGUAAAAAACAAAGCCACCUUCUUCCCAACUCCUGACAGCUAAAAUGUCCUUAAAAUAAAUGGGAAAGUUUCAAUCAACACACCUGUGCCAUGGAGAUUGUAUAAACCAGACAAAUCUUGAGCCUCUCAGGUAACGUCAGACCUGAGAAUAAUGCUCAGGCUCCUCCUAGUAUUUUAAGCCUCACUGCUUCCUGCCCAUGUCCCCAGCUGGUCGUCCAGGCAUCAGGGUGUAGAACUUCUAUUUAUUCACUCCGAGGAAACAGACACACAAAAAGUUGACCCUGGGACCAAGUUAAUCAAAAAGUUUGUAAUAGAGUACUUGAAGGGCUCGAGGCAAGUGCUUGGAGCCAUAAACAGGUGGCACCAAUCAUUUUUUAGUCUUGUUAAAGAAUACCGAGCGUGCUGCUACAGGGAGAUUAUUUCCUGCCUAAUUAAUCUGCGCAUGGCCACCCUGGCGUUUAUUCACUUUGAGGCAUGAAUCCCAUCUGUAAGUCCAGUUGUUAGAAUUGGUGAGUGGAGACUUCCUUAUUUCUUUAUUUAUUAAAGGGGAGAGGGGGAGAGAGAGAGAGAGAGAGAGAGAGAGAGAGAGAGAGAGCGCCAGCCCUUAUGGUUGUUAUUUUAGGUUGAAGCAAACCAAAUAAUCCUGUAGAUCUUCAGUGUUUGAAAGCAGACAACAGCUGAUACCCGAAGGCCUGUUGACUCUGUAUUUAUGAAGGAAAAGUCACACACACACACACACACACACACACACACACUUUUUUAUUUGUAUUUUUUGCAGCAACAUCUAAUUGUCAGGGCUUGCGGGUCGUGGAGCUGUUCCCUGAAUGUGAAGUGAGAUGCUUUGCGGCAUUGAUUGAUUAGCCAAUCCGGCAGGGCUGCGCUGGUCCAAAGAGUGCCUUCAUGAGAAUUGGAAAAGUCCCACCUUGCUCAAGACAGCUGACUUCUAUUUGCUGGAGAAUUGUCAUAGUGCAUGGAAUAUAUUAGAAUAAAACAUUUGACUGCCGAUGACCAGACAAUUGUCAUGCUCAAAACUCAAAUCUACCAAUCUUAAAGGCCAAGCUUUAGGUGUGUCUUUAAAUAACAGACUAUCUAGAGGAUAAAGCUCUUUUUUAAAAAAAAAAAAUUGUUCUUUUUUAGGUAUACACGACAGUAGAAUGUAUUGGAGUACAACUCUCUGUUCUUGUGGCUGUACAGAUGUGGAGCUCCACUGGUCGAGUAUUCAUAUAUAAACAUAGGAAAGUGAGGUCCGACUCUUUCUACUGUCUUCCCUGUUUGGGCUUCUCCCAAGCUGUCCUCAGCUGGGGCCUCUGGGACCGAGAGACGAGCAAGAAGCAACGAGAAUCCCGGGGAUGGAGGAAUGCAGUGCUUCCACACCAGAAGCUUCAGGAACACCUGCUGCCCAGGGCAAGGCUGUGGGUCGGCCAGGAGGCAGGAAAGCUGGGCAGACACUGGGAAGGAGGGAAGGCCCCUGGGAGGGAGCACCUCUGAGCUGCAGAGACAGGAAUCCCUGCAGCAGCCUCUUCAAGCUUUUACCUUACAAAACACAGGCUUCAGAAUCCUUCCGGAGAAUUAUUCAUCACCACCACACUUUUUAAUUUUAGGCAAUCUGCAUAUGUUUUAUUCAUUAAAAAGAUAAAAUAUCUGUGUGCAAGGGAGGCCCUGGAGGACACAGAGCCCGGGGUAGCUAAUGGAUUUCUUUAUAAUGCAGUUUAAUGCAAUAAGGCAACUAAUGUGUUUAUGCUUAGGAGGGCUUUUUCCUUGGAUGGGGGAUGAGGGCCUGGGAGGUUUAGACUUGGAGUAACUCAGAAUGCACACCCAUUCCCUGACCUAGGAGCUAGUGCCCUAAGGCUGGGCCAUGAAUCACAGAUAUUCCACAGAAAAGCAAAAUUCACCCCCAGGAUAGAAGAAGCCCAAUCUCAGGGGUUGGCCAGCACGGUGUCCCCGUGGCCACAGGCAGGGCAGGGUGGUGGGGGCUGAGAGAGGCCUCCUGGGCUCCGGGGGAAGGCUCCCCCUUUGACGGCUGCUUCUUUUAUUUUUUCCUCUCUUUUCUCUGGUUUGAUCUACUAGUACUUGUGUGUUCCUGUUUCUCCUCCUCACGUGCCUUUUCUACCCUUGGAGAGGCGCUGAAAGGAGACUCCUAGCAGGUGGCAAGAAGGUGGAGGAUAAGAAAGAAGACCGGGCCGCAGGCAGUCAGGAUGCCGCGGUGUGAAGCCAGAGGGCAAAGCACUUUGAGGGCAGCGCUUCUGUUCUGCGGAUCAGAGCUCUACGAGAAUAAUUCCCAACAACCCUUUCUCCCUCCAAAGCUUUCUGACUUAGUUGAGUAAACUCCUUUCAUCCUCUGUA